CUUCCUAGUUCCCCGCGUUCUCUGCACCCUGAAGUCGCUGCAGUGACCUCCCUACCUGACUCUUAAGGGAUUUCCCCUGAGAAUUUGGGGGCCGGGGGAGAGGGUGAGGAGAAGAAAAGAAUGAGAUGGAAACUUUGGGGAAAUCCCAUCUGGAUGAAAAUAAACCAGGAGGAGAGAGAGAAGACAAACAGAAAAGUUGCAAGAGAACUAGAACCCUAAGAGGAGAAGCAGUUUUCACCUUCUUCGUAGCAAAUCUUGUUUUUCUCUAUAAUGGUUUUUAUUAACUUCCAAAGGAAAACUGAAGAUCCUAACCCCUGUGUCAUGAGUUAUCACGUUAAAAGUCCAUAGAAAAAAAUUUUUUUGAACCCAGUUCUUACUUUUUGUGUAUAUAUUUUUUGCCUUGAUAAUAAUUAUUGAGUUUAUCGAGUGACACAUUGACAAAUCGUAUGGCCUAUUUUUAAUUCCACAGAUACAUGAUCUUUCUGUAUAGUCUUAAACAGUCUUUACCCCUAGUCACUUUGGAUGAAAAGCUUGGUAGAGAGGUUUGAGUUUGAUAUCUACGUGUCAGUGGCAUCAAACUCAGGGAGCCAGGUAUUAUGAUAAAGUGCUUAACAUAUUCAAUGAAUCCUUACAACAGGCUGAAGAUGUUAUUUUUAUCACCAUUUUAAAAAAUGUUUAUUCACUUGUAAUUGAAGACCUCUACACUGCACAUAUAUAAAGCUGUAAGUUUGGUUUGAUCAGUUUUGACAUAUAUGUAUACGCAUUAAACCAUUACUACAAUAAAAAUAAUCUUCCGUCAUUCCCAAAA